GCGGGGAGGGCCCGGGCAGCAACGAAAGCACCAAGCUGUGAGUCUCUCUAGCCUAGAGGCCAAGGCUUCUCCGGAGCCACAGUGCGGGAGCCUGCCUUCCGUGCACAGUGACGUCCAGAGCUGCGUGGAGCAAGGCACCCUAGUCUACUCAACUCAUCUUGAAUCCGAAACUACAUUUCGUUUUGCGGAGUCACCUACUACUUAAUGAUUCAGGGGCAGACUCGGACCAUACAGCUGAUACUCAGUUUGGAAACCAGAUUUUGCAUUUGGAAUUGUAUGGUGCUGCACCCCACAGCUGCAACUGUUGGGUAGGAACUGCUAGGUGAAUGGUACGAUUUAUUUUAAACAGCUGGUUCGUGCGACUGCUGCCCUGGCAGGUGUGCUGGUACAGAGGAACUGAGGCUGCAGCCUGGAGUCAGGAGGUAGAAUCCCUUCUUCUUGAGAGGCCUCUGUCAUCUCCCUUGAGGCCUUCAGCUGACAUCAGGAGGCCACCCACAGUGCAGAGGAGGAUCUGCUUUCCUCAAAGACUUCUGACCCAAGCCUUGAUCAUGUUUUUAAAACUCACCACAGCGAUGAUGUCAAACCACUGUUUGAUUCAACACGUGGGUGCUACCUUUCACCACUCAGAAGUUCCCAAUGCCUGGGAAUUGCAUGUCCAGCUCCCUGGGGGUUUGGGUGAGUGGAGAGCAGUGUGGCUUCUUUAAAAAUAAAAAUAAGGCUGUGGCUGGGAUGUUGCUGGAUGACACUGCAUUUACCGAAGCAUGCAGAGUAUAAAGAAGUAAAUAGUAAACGAUAAAUAAAAUGUAGCCAUAAA